rnacentral:lncRNA from 1 species
UUUUUGUUCCGGUAUUCUUGUUCAUAAUUUCCUUCAUAAUCAAAGGUUAUUUACACCUUUGAGCUAAAAUUUCGAAUUUAAUAUCCAGUGCCUUCCAUGCAGGUGUGUAGAAUGUGCUUAAAGGGUAGAGCCAAACUGACAGGUAUGGUGCAGUUCAAAGUCUAGGGUGGUUACCUGUUGAGUUUCAGUGUCUUCACAUGCAGAAGUGGUGGCUUGCUCACAGGAUUGUGAUCAUGAGAAAGUUGCAUGGAAGGGACUCAGUGAGUGUUAGUGGCCUUUCUUCCGUCACUAUGUAAUUAAGGUGUCUUGCAAAGGUGAAUUUUUACCUCAUAUAUAGUAUCUGUGUUACUAUAAUUAGCUUCUAAUUCCUGAUUAUUGGAUAAGGCUGCCUUUAUUUUUUAAACUUCAAUUUUUGUGUGUCUGAGGGGAAAAUAUAGAACUUUUUUUUCCUGGAAGAAAGUUG